rnacentral:rRNA from 1 species
GAGAGCCUGCUCCUAGUACGAGAGGACCGGAGUGGACGCACCUCUGGUGUAUCGGUUGUCACGCCAGUGGCAUUGCCGAGUAGCUAUGUGCGGAAGAGAUAACCGCUGAAAGCAUCUAAGCGGGAAACUCGUCUCAAGAUUAGUCUUGCCGGGGCCCCGAGCCCCCUAAAGAGUCGUUCGAGACCAGGACGUUGAUAGGCCGGGUGUGGAAGCGCAGUAAUGCGUUCAGCUAACCGGUACUAAUUGCUCGUGAGGCUUGACCCU